AAAGGGGCAUGCACGUGUACAGCAAAAGAAGAGAGCCAGUCUUGAAAUCAGUACAUACCUGGGUUUUCUUCUUCAGUUGAAGAUACUAAGUUGCUGUCUAUGAUGCAGCUCAGCACAGAAGGCUCUCAGUGUAGCCCUCAGCUCCUGAUAGGUUGCCUCGUUACUCAUGCACCAAGCUGGGUGGGUAGUCCACCAUGUGGCUUGCCUUGGCUAAAACAUCUUUACCUUCUAAAUACUUAAAAUGGUUGCCUAGAAAGCUUUCACUGUGAUAGCAUCUUUCUCUACUGCCACUCCAAAGUCAUUUGUAUCCUUGACCUUGGGGAUGAACUGCUAGGUCCAUGUCAUUAUCAAGUCCACUCUUGUGUUUCCAUAUCGAUGUGCAUGGGUAGGUAGGGGUCAUGAAUGUUUAGUGAGGCAUAGAGGAGGGAAGGGUCUUCUUUCAAGAGCACUCACACUUAGGAUCUCUCACACAUAUCUCUUUAACUUCAUAGUUUCUUCAAAUGGAUUUUUUCUGAUAACACCCACUGCUUGGCUAUGCUGCUUUAGCUGCUAAAUUUUCUGUUUUGUUUUCUGGAUGCUUGAGGUGCAGUUCUGUGGACCAGCAAUGAUGGUGCUGCCUGAGACCUGAGAUGCACAUCUACAGGCAGGACACAGGAUCUGAUGACUCCAAACCUCCAUUUUAACGAGACCCUGGAAGACCGGUUACAGCAUGCUUUGAGGAGAAACUCCUAAUGACACAAAAGCAGCAGUCUUAGAGUAUGCCACAGGACACAUUUCUGCUGUAGAGGAUUUGUUGUGUAUUGUAUGGAAGCCUCACUUGUCAAUAAAAAGCUGACAGCCUGUUAGCUGAGGGUGGCAGCCCUGGUAGGGAAGAAGAACUCUGGGAUAAUCAGGUGAGGGGACAGAAUUGCCCCUAGCCAUGUGGCACUCACAGAACUGAAUAAAUGGUUGGUUAAGCUACAAGCUGGUCUGAACAAGCGCAAGCUUAUAAGAAUUAUAAUUCAGUGUCAUUUUAAGUU